rnacentral:tRNA from 1 species
GGAAGUGUCACGUGCCUGGUGGUGCGCCCGGACUUCAAAUCCGGUGUUCUGGUGAUAAGCUGGAAGGUGAGUUCGAUUCUCAUACACUUCC